UAUGGAGGGGGCUAGCGUUAUUCGGAAUUACUGGGCGUAAAGCGCACGUAGGCGGAUCGGAAAGUCAGAGGUGAAAUCCCAGGGCUCAACCUUGGAACUGCCUUUGAAACUCCCGGUUUUGAGGUUGUGAGAGGUGAGUGGAAUUCCGAGUGUAGAGGUGAAAUUCGUAGAUAUUCGGAGGAACACCAGUGGCGAAGGCGGCUCACUGGCACGAUACUGACGUUGAGGUGUGAAAGCGUGGGGAGCAAACAGG
rnacentral:rRNA from 1 species